AGCCAAGCUUUGAAACACAUUGUGUAUUGUGCCACAAGGUGUCAUCGUUUUGCUCAUUAAGGGCACAGGUAUAAAAGUAUGUCACCGCCUGGGUAUCAGAUGUGUGUCUUGACCCGGAAGGGCAGUUGGUUUUUGACCGUUGUUGCGUUAUCAUGUUGUUACAUUGUUGCCUUGUCACGUUGUUACGUUGUCACGCUGUUACGUUGUCACGCUGUUACGUUGGAUGCUGUGACGUUGGAUGCUGUGACGCUGCGUCGGCAGGUGGCAUGGAGAACCGCGUCUAAAAUGUUUGUCCAUGCAAUGAAGGAGAAACUUGUGGACGCUGUCUAACUGUUCGUACGGUGACGCAAUAAAUGGAUUGUAUGGUGCUGCAAACCAAAGUUACGCCUAAGACCUGUUAUUUCAACAACUACAGUAAACGGUAUUGUAUGGACAAACAAAUGACAGUACAACGCGUCAGCCAAGUCAUUCCCGGGAGAUAUCAAAACACACCGGCAGCUUUAGUACAGGACUAAGCUUCUAUAUUCCAUCUGAUGAUGCAUUUGCAUACAUAAACCAGAAAAACUUGAAUUCCGUGAAUGUGCAGCUGAUAUGUGAUGCAAACUGUGUGUUGCUCAACGUUGUGGCUUGGUGGGACGCAUGACAGCUUCAUACUGCGCAACAGCGCAGUUAGCACCAGUUUGGAGAAUGGAGCUGUGAAAGACGGCUGGCUUGUCGGGGACCGGGGUUACCCUCUGACCCAGUGUUUAAUGACACCCCUGGCCAACCCACAGACACAAUGGCAGCUGGCAUAUAAUGAAGCCCACGCCGUCACGAGGGCCGUUAUAGAGUGCACAAACGGCGUUCUCAAGGCGAGAUGGUUGUGUCUGGAUCACAGAGGUGGCACCCUUCUCUAUGCACCCGAGGAGGUGUGCAAAAUUAUAAUGGCCUGCUGUGUCCUGCACAAUAUUUCAAUUAGGCUAAGUGGGGCCUUCCCGUGCCUGAGGUCCUAAAUCCACCUGAGUGACUGCCUCCACAACCAGCUUGUGAGGUCAGAAAUGCGACUGCUAUUCAGACACGCCUGCAACUUAUAGAGCGUUUUUAAGGACCAGGUCACCUCUCCGGCCUCUGCGUCUGGGAGAAGGAGCAGUGGGAGCAGCAGGUGGAGGACUCACACCACGGGAGUAAGACUCAUCGGCUGAAACAAUUAAAAAACCCAUCAAUAAAUAUGCUUUUGAAAAACAA